AACGAACGCUGGCGGCAGGCUUAACACAUGCAAGUCGAGCGCCCCGCAAGGGGAGCGGCAGACGGGUGAGUAACGCGUGGGAAUCUACCCAUCUCUACGGAAUAACGCAUGGAAACGUGUGCUGAUACCGUAUACGUCCUUCGGGAGAAAGAUUUAUCGGAGAUGGAUGAGCCCGCGUUGGAUUAGCUAGUUGGUGGGGUAAAGGCCUACCAAGGCGACGAUCCAUAGCUGGUCUGAGAGGAUGAUCAGCCACACUGGGACUGAGACACGGCCCAGACUCCUACGGGAGGCAGCAGUGGGGAAUAUUGGACAAUGGGCGCAAGCCUGGUCCAGCCAUGCCGCGUGAGUGAUGAAGGCCCUAGGGUUGUAAAGCUCUUUCACCGGUGAAGAUAAUGACGGUAACCGGAGAAGAAGCCCCGGCUAACUUCGUGCCAGCAGCCGCGGUAAUAC
rnacentral:rRNA from 1 species